rnacentral:lncRNA from 1 species
AAUCAAUGUAAUCAAUAACUAAUCAUUCAACAAUUAUCUAAUGGUUUCUUUGCAACAUUUAUCACUUAAGUAAAAAACACAAUAGGGAUUCAAAAUACUAUAAUUAUAUCAAGAGCAAGGAUAUUCACGCCUCGACCAAGAUUUGUAGUAAUAAUGAAACAAUUAGCAAUGAGACUGUUUCUGGAUCAAACACCCCAAUCCAAACAAGGAAUAUCCAUGUCUUUUUGUCUUGCUGUUCCACGGCUACAUAACAGACCGCAGUGCCAUGCAAUCCCAGCUUCCUUCGUUUAUCUUGCACCGGCAGUGUACUGAGGUAGCGCUAAUCUCGGUUCUAGAGGGAAUGUAAAUAAAUUACAAUAACUCAAAAAAAAAUCUGAAUACGUGGCUGCAAAGUUCAAAGACACAAGGCUUUACAGUUCCACCUUGGUUCUUGUUGGACACGUGCAUGUAAAAGAGGAACACGAUUCAGCAGUUGGGAGCUCACACCUUCAUGCCAGCGUUCGACAACCACCGCCUAUCACCGCUAGAAAACAAGCGAUCCAAAGUCACCAUGUUAGGCAUAUUAUCCAAUGCGAAGGUCGAUUAAGUAAAAUCUAACCUCCUAAACUACGCGCACCUGAGGUUUCACAAAUGGAGGGUUUCGGCAUGCUGCUGACUAAGAAAGCAGGUAUCCAGUGGACGCAACGCGAAGAUGUGUCUUAGGGCAGGCCAGCAGUGUUGGUGUGUUGCCACCGUAUGCAGGAGACAGCCUGUGGGCCUGGUCAGGCAGGGUAGCUUCAUUGGAGAGAUUAACAAUGGGUACACAUCACCAGAGAGGGUCAGAGGUGAUCACUGAUCAGCCAGCGGAGACGGCAUUGGAGUUGGAAGUUGGGAACGCAUGAGAGAUGGAGAGACGAGAGAUUCAAAACCCGGUCUCUGUCAUCGUGGACACUCGGAUCUCCAUCCGACGUCCACUUCAUUGCCUGAAGCUAAACCAUAUUUCAGGCACCUGACAUAGAGUGCCUCUCGAAAGGAAUAGAGUGCACGGGAAACACAAAACACACACACAGAUAGAGACUAUGCAUUGGCUGUAGACCACCCCAGAAAUAAUUGAUUGAAUCCUGUUAACAACAAAAUACGUCAGCAAUGAUUAAUUGAAUAUCACCAAGCUUGUUAACUAUCUUAAACCGCCAUGCUUUAGAGUAUGCACAGUGAUAACACCUGCUAUGGCAAAGUGUCCAUUUUAAAUUUUUAUGUCAAAACUUUUUAAAAUUCAAAGUGAAAUUGUCUAUUGGCAGGACAGUAAAAUACCAAACAAUGGAAAAACCAAGGCAUUUAUAGUACAACAUGACAGACAGUAUAAGAUUGUCAUUUCAACCUGGAGAAACUUUAGGAGCUGGAAGAGUUUAGGUCUGUGUGAGAGCAAAAUAUUUUUUUUAUAGUUUCUAUGCAAUACCAUGGUUUUGGACAAUACCGUAGUAUUUUAUGUCAUGAGGUGUUUAGUUGCACUCCUGAAAACUAUGUUUUCAAAACCAUUGUUUAUAGAUACCAUGAUAUUUUUAGAGUAUUGGAGAUUCCACUACAACCUAAAGUUUUUAUGGCAUGACUAGCUUUUGCCUAAUACCAUGGUUUAUAAUAUUGUCUCCAAACAAUGUUUCUCAAAACCAUGUUAUUUUUGGAGCUACCAAAACUACGGUAUUAUCAUGUGUAAAACAUUGUUGCCAAACAGGCCCUCAGAGUUUUUCAAAAUGGCUCUAGCUCCUCCCUUUUUAAUGAAAAAGGGCCAAACAGGCCCUCAAGAGUUUUUUCAAAAUGGCUCUAGCUCCUCCCUUUUUAAUGAAAAAGGGCCGUAAAUAACUAUUUCUACCGAACCAUUUGAUAAGGCUCAAGAGUUUUUCAAAAUGGCUCUAGCUCCUCCCUUUUUAAUGAAAAAGGGCCGUAAAUAACUAUUUCUACCGAACCAUUUGAUAAGGCUCCUAUCCAGGAGUCGAAGGCCACCAAUACACUCAUUUUUGUUCCAAAUUAUAGUUCACGUCGUUUUUAAAGAGCCAUUUGGAACCUUUGCCGCUCCCUCUCCUUGCCUAGCCAGGUGAAAAAAUUGGCACACGGUUGUUGUUUUUUUUUGGGGGGUGGGGGGGGGGGGGUGGCGUUGGUCUUUGAUUGUGAUUUCAAGAUUUCCCCACGGCUCGCACUUGGCAAGGCUGGCCUAGCUUGGUAGGGACAGGCAAGCAAAGCUGGCAUUAGUGCAUUUUUCAUGGAAAUUUAGAUACUAUUUUUUCAUGGAAACUACACGCACAUGACAGACAGUAUAACAUGCUCCAAACUUCUCUAGUUUUGAGUGGGAUGAAAAUGGUAAUUCGAACGGUUAGAACAAAUUUAAUAUUUUAAAUUAGAUAUGUAUAAAAUUUAAUAUUGAUCUUUUUUUAUGUUAUCAAGCACAUUAGUACAAAUACGAAUAAAAUAUUACAUAAAUUGCUUUAUGUAUUAUUUGCUCCCUACAACACAAAAAGUUGAAAAAAUUACCGAAUUUAUUUUCGAAUCCAUACCGAAGUUUAUAUCUAUUAUUUAAAAAAAUAUAUGAUGAAUUUGAGGUUUACCUUUUAUGAAUCUUUAGAAGCUGAAUGUUAAAAACAAGAAUACAAAUUUGUAUUAUAGAUUCUAUAUCCUAUUUAUUCACAAUCAAAGAAAAAUGACUAAAAAACUUAUUACCGAAUAAAUACCGUUUCUGACCGUUUUCAUCCCUAGUUUUGACUAAAGUUUUAAAAAAUAGCAUCUAUAAGUUAAAUUAAAUGCACCAUCGAGAUAUUUUCAUGGAAAUUUAGUAAAACUAAUUCGAGGAUGCAUGCGUUAGUGCAUUUUUCUAUAGACUUAUCAAAGUUAGAGAAGUUAAGCUUACAUCAAAUCUAAAUGAACUAUAAUCUGGAACAUAGGGAGUACCCGCUUCCUAAGCAUCCUUCCGACUCAGGUUUGUUGAUGAAUUUCCUUUCCAAAUCACGAUUUUCCUUUCUAGGGACCUACAGAUCACAUGGCCAUCAGGGUAAUGUUAUGCUUUAAAGGUGAUGGACAGAUGAUAUUCCAGGAAGAAUCACAAUAGCCACAGAUGUCAAACUAGUACAGAUGCACAUUGAGAAUGCAAUUGAGAAGCCAGUGUUUAGGAAAACAGAGAAACCAAACAAACUUUGCCUUGAAACGACAUUGGGGACUAUAAAUGUAACAAAAAUUACUCUACUGAUGUUCUGUCGAUUCAGACUACACGUUGAGAGGUUUGCUAAGAUUGUAAAAAUGUUUAUAAUUUCGGUCAUUAAAUUUAUAUUAUAACAUGGUAAUAGCUUUUGGUGCCAUAUAUAUUUAUUUUCCUUUUCUCUUUCUUUUCUGUUUAUUGUGCUCAUGUAGAAGUUGCAACUCUAAGCUAUGCUAACUUGCUUAGGACUAAAAGGCUUUGUUUUUUUCUCAAAUGGCUGUUCCUAAGGUAUUUUUUGUUGGUCCAAAUAUUAGCAUGUAAAUAAAACAGGUAUGUUAUCCCCAAAUCCAAAGCAUGAGGAACUUAUUGAGUAUUGAUUUAUCUUUAACAAUGUAUUACUAGACUUUGUUGUACAUUUCUAAAUUAUUUUUCUAAACUUAUAGCUUGUUUGUAGCUCGGAAACUGACAGUACUUCCUGUUUUACCGAUAGCUCUGGCAAAGGGAGGCAGCAAGCUUGAGGCAA